rnacentral:lncRNA from 8 species
AAGAUCUUGUCUGAACUUUCCCAGGAAAUGGCAGAUCGAUGCAGAAAGGCUUUCACCACCAACAAAACCGCAGUGACACUCGAUGCUUCAGGCCAGUCUGAGCUACUGCAGAGAAAUGGGCUCACUGAACUUCCUGUCAUCAUGAUGUUGAUGCAAGUCACGGCGAACACAGGGCAGAAGAUUGGGACUUUAAUUGACCUUGCUUCAGACACAAACUACAUUACCCAUAAGGCUCCUGAAAGACUGAGGUUAAGACAUGAGAAGAUAACUUUAGUUGUUCAUGGGGUUGGUGGUAUGACCAUGAAAGUGAACACACUAAGGUAUCUCCUCAAAGUCAGAGUCAAGACACCUAAAGGGACAGAGAGAGCUCAUGAAAUGGUCUGCUACGGCUUGGAUGAAAUCGCCAGAGUGCAUCAAGUAAUUGAACCUGAGAAGUUGAAAAAAUUCUUCCCAGAAGUCAAACUUACAGAAUUGGAAAGGCCAGAAGAGGUCGAACUUCUCAUUAGCCACCGAGAGGGAAGACUCGCUCCCCAGAGGGUAAAAAUCAUGGGAGACCUCGUCUUGUGGGAGGGUCCAUUGGGGAAAACAGUGGGUGGAGCACAUCCCGACUUAUUUGAAGAAGUGGAGGUUGCACUAUAUGAGUCCAAAACACACUUUGCUCGCUCCAUGAGGACAGCAGCUGUCAAAUAUCAAGAAAUCACAAGUCCAACAACUGACACAGCCCAGCUACAGCAGGAGGAUGUGACUCUGACCAAAUUUACAGCUGCCAGUAACCGUGAGUUCCUUGAGUGGUGGCACUGGGACAGCAUCGGAGCUGCAUGUGAGCCAAGAUGUGGAGGAUGCCGAUGUGGAAACUGGCCACCGGGAGGAAAAGAAAUGACCCUGGCAGAGGAGAGGGAACUGGAGAUCAUUAAAGGAGGCCUCACCUAUGAGAAGGGGGAUGCUCACACACCGGCUCCACAUUGGGAUGCAAAGUAUCCUUGGACGGUAGAUCCAGCCUCUCUCCCGAAUAACAAAAGUGCAGUCCAGGCUUGUUUCUUAAGGAUAAAACUCAC